CUUUUCAUCGCCCUGGUUUGAGAGUCGGCAAACAUGGCGUCCGCUUCGUCGGGCCCCGACUGGUUUUCUAAUGCAUAUGGAAUAUUAACUUCAAGUCAGACUUCACUCAAAAAAUCUGACCUUCAGAUAAUUGUGAAGUCUGUCAUACAAAGUGAAAGUGUGCUCGUGGUAGAGGAUGAGGAAACCAGAGAGUUUCGUGAAGCUUUCGUUGCACUCAGUGCCCACUUCAUUGGCACAAGUGCAACUUCAUUGUCCCGGAGUCAGAUAACAACUGCUGCCCAGGCCUGCAGCAUUCUCUUGCGUAUGCUGCUGAAGUGGCUGAAGGCGCACAGGGAAAAUGCAUUCUUACAGCAAAGCGUCAUUGUGGGCCUUAUUAGUGGCCUGUGUCUAUCUAAUGCGGGCACACCAUCCAAGCUAGAGUUGAGUACUAUGUCCUCAAAGCUCAAGAUUGCCCACCUUCCUCCCAGUCUGAUACCAAAACAAGAUGGGACUGAACGUCGUCGGGACGACACACGAGAGCUGCGGCAGCUAUGGCUGAACCCUAGCAGUACCAUUCUCGAGCAGCUGUCUACCCCACUUCUGGAAAACCCCUUGGGGCCCAAGUCAGACGCUAGCACAGAUCUUGACAAGGACUUGGAUCUCAGUGCCAGCCAUAUCAUUGACCCUGGAAUGGAAGCUAAGAAUCUUUUGCUGGCCAAAAAUUUGGCCAGCUUGCAACGGGAGCGAGCUGGCGACAUCCUGCUUGAUGUGUGCCUGGCCAUACCUUGCAUGGUGCAGUACACGCAAGGUUUAGAAGAUGUACUUCUCUCUGGAGACACCAUGGUGCUUGACUGCCUGACAAGCAGCGUUGUGCUAUAUGGAUCGAAAACACUCUGUGCAGAAAUAGCACUAGUGCGCAAGUGCCUGAACCUUCCUGUGUUGGAGCCACUAGGUGAAGUGCGGCUGCAGCGGCUCGUGCGGCUGGCCCUGGGAUGUGGACACAUGGCAGUGGCUGUGACGCAGGCGGUGUGCGUUCUAGGCGUGUCCUCAUCUGGAGGGAUCAGCCAGCCCGCUUCGGGCAAUGCCAAGGCAGUCUGGGAGGACGAUGGGCACCUGGCACUUGCUGCCCGUGCAGUUGAGGCUUGUCUUGAAGUCUACAACAUUAUUGGAUCCACCAUGAGGUCAUCAACAAGAGCUGGUGGUCAUGUGCUACAAAACCUGCAUGUGUUGACAUCAUGGCUGCUGCUUAGAGGCCUACAUGUGAUACUGAGCCUGAACACAUUCCUUGAUCGAGGUAUUUGCAAGGAAGGUUCGGGUGCCAAAAGCAACAGGGGGUCCUUGGAUCAGACACCUACCAGGACCAGAGAACAGUCCAGUGGCCUCAAGCAGAACCUUCUGCGCAUCCAGCAAGGUUUCGGAGUGUUGCCUGUGGCACUUGCCAACCAAGUGCUGUCGCUUCUGACCAGUGUGUUUGCUGAUCUGCGACUGGAAGCUGGUGCAGCACCUGAAGAGGGUGAUCGAGAAGGCAGCCGUGCGGAUGAGCGCAUUCUCACCUUCCUGGGCAACAUCAAUACACCUUUCUCUGCAUGGAAAUGUGUCCGGGUGCUCAUGCAGCUGAACCUACCUGCCCUGCUUUUUGACCUUGUCUCAGUCUCUUACCGCAAGGCAGGGAUGUUGAAGAGGAUUCAGAAGCAUCCAACAGAUGGCGACAACUUCAGCACUUCAGAUUCAAACACAUUCUAUGAAGAAGACUUCAGUACAUCAGAUGAAAGCAGUGUUGAUGAAGAUGACAGCGAGCCCAUCUUGGGUCACUGGUAUGAGCUAACGACUGCCCUACGAGAAAAUAGCCCUGCUCCAGGACCACUGCAGCCAAAGGGAGUUGCCGAGACUGAAGUGACAGAAACCAGAGGUGUCCGCUGCUCCUUGGCUGAUGGCCGACCCCUGAUUCCAGACAAAGAGGAACCACAUGGGUAUAUCCAGUUGUCAACAAAAGUCCUCAACUUUGUCAAUGCCUACCUAGUCAACUUUGAGCCAGUACAGGCAUAUCUCAAAUCUGGGAUAGGUAUGCCACAGAUGGUUAUCCUUGCUGGCAUUAUCAAAGACUUGGACCGUGAGACAUGCAAGAGCACAAUUGGUCUUUUGUUUGGAGUUUCUCUGGGCCAACUGUAUGAGGACUUCUCAAGAGCACUGGCUAGGUUCAUUCAUAAUGUAUUGGCCACUGGCUUGUUGGAUGACGUCUACCAGGAUGGCCUCUUGACUCAUCUGAACAUCAACCCAUGGAUUCAGAAAGAAUGGCCAUUGCAAAUCUACUGGCGUACAUUGUCAGUGUUGGCACAGGUGCUUUUGCUGAGACAGCAGAAAGACAAAGAUGACCUGAGGAGCGAGAAUGACACAGCUUGCAUACUCAUUUUUCGGCUCGUGCUCAACACCAUGCAGAAAGCCAUCCUUUCAUCACAUGGUGACGACAGCGAAGACAUGAAUGUGGAGCACACCCAGCUACUGCUUUUUUUGUUUCACAACCUUCAGCUAAUGCAGAAGAAAGUUGUGCUACUGAGUGUUGCCAAGACUAUUAUUAAUGUGGCCCCAGUGUCCCAGAGCCCACUAAAAGACAUCCAGAUUAUCUACAUUGCAAGGCUUCUGCACAUCUUCGAGUACCUAAUCAAGAACUUAUAUGAUGCUCCGGCCUCUCUUGUGGACCAGGUGCAAGGAAAUCUGUUCAAUAUUCAUGGUGCUGUUUCUACUAACCCUGAUGCUGAGAAUACCAAGCAGCAUGGAAAGCUGUUUUUUCCUUGCAAAGAAGUUGAAGACAACUUUGCCAAGAACUCUCUUUCAGAUGUGGUGCAAGGUUCACACAUCAGGCCAAAGUUUUACCACCUCAUGAUUCUGGAAUCUGGCACACAGGAUGUCCCUAAGUUGGAUGGCUUUGCCUGCAGCUUUCUUCUUGCAUCACCAGAUGCGCUCAAUUACUCUGAUCUUUAUGGAGCUGUGCUUUCACUGCUGUGGAUUGGAGCUCAAUGUGAUGCAGUAGAACGGCCUUCCGAUAGCCCUAAGCUCUCAUACCUGGGUACAGCUGCCAUACAGUACUGCUUUGGUGCAGUAUGGCGCUUGUUGCUAAGCCUUCCACCCUCUAUUCAACUCUCGGAAGCUUUGGCCACAGGCAAUGCAAUGCUUGACCUUCCCCACAUCUUACAUGCAAUUGUCUGGGUUUCGAGAUUCGGGCAUAAAAACUUCACUGUCUGGAUCAAGGAUUCUCUUGUGAAGCAAGGCAUGACCCCACAGCGUGCAGAAGCCACUGUGCACCAAGUCACAACAAAUGCCAACCAGCUUCUGUUCGAUGUGAGAGUGUUCAAACAGCUGGCUAGCAAGCAGCUGUGCCAAGGACCAGCCGAUUUGUCAGGUCCUGUCAGUCGUUCUGAACUGCCACAUCUCAUGGACCUGUUUGUAUUGGAGGCCCUUAUUGCAAAGCUGCAGGUGUCCAUGGAUUUCAUCCUCUUGAAAUCAAUGAAUGAGAAUCUUAUGCGGGAGGAGUUCAAGGAGUUCUCAUGGGAGAUCUUACCGAUUCUUCUUCGUCUGAUCAAGCUCUACAACACUUGCAUCAGGUGGAGUCUUUUGCUCCAGGCCAUCGACUUGUCAACUACAGGGCGUUCAGAAACAAGCCUGCGUGCUAUGGACGUUGUUCUGCGAAUGACUUCACGGCGCUGCUCUCAGGUUUCAAGCACCGUUGCUGCAAUUGUGUCACAUUUGCCACCACAAGUGGACUGCACCCUUGAUUUUUGGAAUGCAAUGGCAGUAAAUGUCUGCAACUGGAGAAAUGACUUUGCUAAUGACAGCCUUCCAUCAGAGAGCUACAUUGCAGCCGUGCAAGUUGCUCAUUUCUCCCCUUUGUCGGCAAACUCUACAUUCUUGAUCAACUCCAGCCUGAAGCGCAUUCUUCAGUGCCUUGUGCGCUUUGCUCAAGAUGUCUACUGCUGGUCUGCAGGAGACAAGUUCUCUAAUGAUUUUGUGCGGGCCAUGCUGCCACUGCUGCUAGACGCUACCACCGAGUCUCAGACAGACUUUGUAACGCUUGCGCUUGAAGGCAUAAUUGGGUCCUCGGACACAGAGGAGUUCGCACAGCAUGUUUAUAAAGAGAUGUUGGCAAACAGUUAUGAGCUGGUUAUCGAUUACUCUCACAAAGAAAGUGAACUCAAUGAAUUGGUGUUUCAUGAAUGCCUAAAGUUCAUGGAGAAUCUCGUGGACAAGCAGCCUGGCAAAAAAGCUCUGGAAGAAUUUUUCUGUGAUACAGACAUCUGGAACAUUUUGUUGUCUGCAGCGGAAGGAAACUUGAGUCCUGCAUAUGGAACCCGUGUUCUCAAGUUGUACAGCAAACUCUUCAUCCAAAUUAACAGAAGUCCUGGUGAUCCAAGUAUGGAAAAGUUAAAUGCCACGCUCUCCAGAAUGAACCGACUGAAUGAACUAGACUUAAAAUCUCUCCAAAACUGGCUAAGCAAAAUUGUAACUGGUUCCAAGGGAGCAAAAUUCAGUCAUAAUAGCCUUUCUGUUCAAAUGAAUCGACUUUUGCUUCAGCACUUCGCAAAUUAUAUGGUCAAAGAAAACAGCAAGGUGUCAACUCAGAUGGCUGGUUCUUUCUUAGCAGCACUGAUUGAAAUUGGAACCCAGCUUUUAUCUCCAGCAUCUGCAGGCAUUGGCUUCUCUGACCUCAUGGAUGCCAUGUCCACUUUGGCAAAUGCAGGGUCUGGCUGCGGCCAUCUGCAGCUUUUCAAGGCAGCAACAGAAUGGCUCGAGGCCUGCAGGAAGUAUUUGUCCCAGAGAGAUGUGCUAGAGAAGCUAGAGGACAAUGUCAGUAGCGGGAAGCACCAGGUCAUCAUGAAUGCUGCUUGCUGCGUACUCUCAUACAUUGCGGACUUAGUGGGCUCCCUCAAGCUUCUGGCUGAAAGACCACUCAAUGUUGGCCGGAGUGGAGCUGCCAGCCCACCACUAGAUGGUGAUGGUCAACACCCAGAACCGGACUCUGAUUGGGCUGAUGAGCUGGGUCCCGAGGACGAUGAAUCUGGUGGCGAAGACUCCGAUGAAGAUUCUCUUUGCAACAAGCUUUGCACCUUCACCAUGACCCAGAAGGAAUUCAUGAAUCAGCACUGGUAUCACUGCCACACAUGCCGUAUGGUGGAUGGUGUAGGUGUCUGUACUAUCUGUGCCAGGGUGUGCCACAAGGACCAUGAUGUGACAUAUGCCAAGUUUGGCUCCUUUUUCUGUGACUGUGGGGCCAAAGAUGGUGGCAACUGCCAGGCUCUAGUCAAACGUAACCCGCAGAUCCCAUCAGAUACAGGGCCCGUGUCUGCAUCCACCACAGCAGCAACUUCCCUUGCCUCAGAAAAUGUGCUUCCCAGCUCAAUACGUCGUAGGACUUCGUCUCCUGUUCAAGGCCCUGGCUGUGGAUCUGGUUCAAGUGCUGCUGAUGCCCACCCACCUCUUGCUACAUUAGUGAUCGCUAAGAAGGCUGCUGAAGAGACUCAGAAACGCCGGCAGCAGCUGGCAAAGAAGUUGGAGGCCUUUCGAGGAGCCCUUGUCGAGCACAUCGUUUCUACAAGCCUGGUUGGAACUGUUCUGGAGUUGAUCCAGUUUCUUAUGCCUGCUAUUGUGGAGACAUACAACCGAAACUCGCCCAUCAACAGCUCAAGUCGUGCACGGAAGGCACUUGCCGAGCUCCACAAUCAAGAAAAGCUGUUUGGACAUGUUGACCAGCUGAUGGUGCCAACUCUGGGAUCACAAGAAGGAGCCUUCGAAAAUGUGCGAAUGAACUUUUCUGGGGAGCAGGGUCAAACCAUACGACAGCUGCUUAGUGCUCACAUGAUUCGUCGAGUCGCCAUGUGCUGCCUGGCAUCACCCCAAGGAAAGCGCCAGCAUCUGGCUGUCAGCCAUGAAAAGGGAAAAAUCACACUGCUCCAGCUCUCGGCGCUUCUCAAGCAAGCAGAUUCCAGCAAACGCAAGCUAACAAUCUCAAGACUGGCAUCAGCCCCAGUUCCAUUCACAGUUCUCUCGAUCACUGGGAAUCCAUGCAAUGAAGACUUUUUGGCAGUGUGUGGACUAAAGGACUGCCAUGUGUUGACCUUCAGCUGCACUGGAUCUGUAUCUGAGCAUCUUGUUCUUCACCCUCAACUUGAGACAGGCAACUACAUUAUUAAGGCCAUGUGGCUCCCAGGCUCCCAGACAGAGCUUGCUUUGGUGACUGCUGAUUUUGUCAAAGUGUAUGACCUGUCAGUGGAUGCCGUGAGUGCACAGUUCUUCUUCCUGUUACCAUCGGGUCGUCUGCGUGACUGCUGUUUUGUGUGCCCUGACGAAGGGCCUCGACAUUUGCUGCUCAUGUCAUCAGCUGGCUAUGUAUACUGCCAGCCUUUGAUUGAGGAGAGUUCAGCUCGUCAUGGGCCCUUCUACGUGACAAGUGUUCUUGACAUCCAACAUCCUGACAUCAAGGGCUCUGUAGGUACAGUGGCUGGUGGUGGUGUGUCCAUCUACUACUCCCAUGUUCUGCAGUUGCUGUUCUUGAGCUAUGCCAAUGGAAAGAGUUUCAUGGCAUGCAUGUCUCAAAUUAGUUCAGAAAUAACUGACCCUGUGCUGAUCCAGCUCAAGCCAGCAGCAAGCAGCAACGGGGGAUCAGGGGGCACCACUACCACCAACACAGGAAGCAAUGUACUCUCGGGUACUGCAACCACCACCACCACUACCAGCACGUCAGCUGGUAAUGCUUCUGGGGGUAGCAGCAAUACCUCAAGCAAGCCAACACCCCAGCCCCUCUGCCAAUGGUCUGAGGUGCCCAAUCACCCUGGCCUUGUCCUAGCACUUAUGCAGUUCUCCAAUAAUCCCCUGGUGCUUAUGAUCAAGCCUGGCACUGUCCUUGUCCAGGAAAUCAAGAUCUUGACUGCAAAGUCUAAGAUCACUGACCUGGUUGCUAUUCGACACCCAACAUCAAGUGGUGGGAUGCGCACCACCAUGAUCCUGCUUUGUGAAGAUGGCAGUUUGCGAAUCUACAUGGCCUCACAGGAACAGACAGAUUACUGGCUGACCCCAGCAUUCCAGCCUGCUGCCAUCAUAGGGGUGGCAGGUACAGCAACUUCUAGUACACCAUCAGGGCCAGCUGCUGGCGGUAGUACAACACCUCGUCCAUCCAGAAGAAAAAAGUCAGUACGAGGUCGUGUGGGCCCAAGCACUGUGCCUGUGUCCUUUCCUGUGGACUUCUUCGAACACUGCACAGCCAUUCAGGAUGUGGAAUUUGGUGGAAAUGACCUCCUUCAAGUCUACAAUGCACAGCAGGUGAAGCACCGGCUUAACACAACAGGCAUGUAUGUGGCCUGCACUAAGCCUGGUGGUUUAACGCUGGAGAUCACGAACACCGACCCAACGUUGGUGAUGGUGGGUGUGCGAGUGCUGGUGGGCUCGCAGGAUGUGCAACGGGCACCUUCGACUGUGGAUCUUUUUGGCCGUUCACAUGCACUGGUGCUGACACGACCCCGCUGGUAUGACUUCCCUUUCACUCGUGAGGAGUCACUGGGUGCUGACAAGAAGAUCAGUUUAUUCUUUGGACCAAGUACUGACCCAUCUUGUGUGACCAUGGUGGAUUCUGUCAAAGUUUAUGGGAAGUCGAAGGAAUCUUUUGGUUGGCCUGAGGAGAACGACGAGUUUGCAACAGGGGUGGGUGUUGCAGCACAGUACAGUGCGGUAGGGGUGCCUGGAAUUGACUCUGAUGGAAUCCCAUUUUCACCAUUGCCAUUGACAGCACUCGACAGGCUCACUAGCAGUUGCUUGGAAUUGUUGGAUGACUGCUUCUCAGUAAGCUCAUUGUCAGAGGAGUGGCUGUCGGGAAAUGCAAAAGGGACUGCCUUGGAGGUGGCCACACGCCUGCUAACUUUGCCCACUCCGCCAACAGUACACCAGCAAGUUCGUGCACUCCUGGCUGCUCUGCAUCCUAGCCGCACUGCCUACACCAGCCACAGGGAUCAAGCUCUGUUGGACUAUGUCCUAGAAUGCCUGAUCCACAGCAGCCAGGAAAAGCCACCUUUCCAAGACCUUGAUGGUGAUGCCUUUUAUCGGUUGGUGGCCAUUGCCCGUGGGGUAGCUUGUGCUCGGCCUGCAAACCUUGUUCAGUUUGCAGAGUCUCUUGAAGUCAUUGCAGACCCUGCAGAAGGCCCUGAAGAAUUGCACAAGGAAGAGGUGCUUGAAGAGAGGGGCUUGCUUGAGAAGGUACACGUAGCAACCAACACAUUGUCACCUUCAGAAGACAGCCAUUUCCUGAGCCUCUUGACUGAUGUUUUCUGGCAUCUGCAUUACCAGAGGCCUCGGAACCUUGCUCUGGCCCCAAUCUCAAAACAUGGCCUCAUUCAUGUUGAAGCCACUGUGCAAGCCUUGGUUGAGGUGAUGUAUGCAUUUGUGGCCUUGGAUAUGGAGAAUGUGAGCUUGGUGGCAAAGCUGUUUGCCCGUCUGCUGCUCUGCGAGGACACGCUAGUGAGCUUCGCUGCUAAGCAGGCCAUCAUUCGGGUGCUGCGGCCCAAGACACGGAAGCGAAAAGUUUUCAUUCCUCGUACUGCUCAGUGUAGUACACCUGGUGAAUUAGCCACUGACCAUACAGAUGGAGGCAAAGCAUCUACAUCAGGUGCAACAGGUGUGUCGCAGUCCCUGUCAGGUACUCCACAGCCCCCAGUGUCCAUGCCAGGCAGCUCAUCGUCGAUUGGGGGCCUUGAGGUCCAGCCACAGGCUUCCCUGGAAUCUCAGGCAGAUGUGGAGUCGCAUUUUGAGAUGCUUGAGAACAUGGAUGCAGUGGUCCUUUUGGGCGGUGCCAGUGGGGCUGGUGGAGGAGGUGCCUUCCCACCGCUGCUUGAUAUUCCGCCUGAUGCUGACGAUGAAACUAUGGUGGAACUGGCCAUUGCCCUCAGCCUUCAAGAUCAACCUGGCCAGUCUGAAGACAUAAAUCUUGGUGCUCUGGGCGGCACUGGAGGCUCACAAGGUCAAAGUCAACGGGCGUCUUCUCUUGAGGGCGGUCAUUAUUCAGACACUACAGCCUCAGCCGGGGCUAGUGAUGAUGAAGGAAGCACAGCUGCCACUGAUGGCUCCACACUGCGCACAUCACCUGCUGAACAGUGCUCCCUGCCGACGCAUCGACUCGUCGUGGUUUCCCUGCAAGGUGGCAGUGGUGCUGGCUCAGAGAGUGGAGGCAGUGGGGCUGAUUCCAUGACUGGAGAGCCUAAUGUUAGUGGGCGCAGCAGUGCCUAUGGAGACAAUGCAUUGCCUGAAGGUGGCAUGGCACGGUCAGAGACGAGUUCAGUCGGACUUCCUCUCACGCUGCCUCAGGAGGACCCUGACACAGCUUGGGGACUUCAUGCCCAGCGUUGUGCCUUACUUGACCGAAUGCUGCGUUUCCUGCCGCAGCUGCGCAGUGUGGGUGGAGUACGGGCCAUACCAUUCAUGCAGGUGGUGCUAAUGCUCAGCUCAGAUUUAGAUAGUGAGGAUGACAGAGAUCGCGCGACCCUGGACAAUUUGCUGAGCAGCUUGAUUGGUGAGCUAGAGAGAAACGUGGCUCGUCUGGUCCAGAGGAGCCCAUCCUCUGAGGAACAGCUCAUUGUCAUGCGCCUACUCAGUAUCAUGAUGUCACGCAUCAAAAGUUCAGCCAAGGCUUCUGGCCCCAGCGAUCCUGCUUGCCAGAACUACUGCAGCACUUCAGCUGCAGUUGCCCUGCAUGCUAGCGGCAUUGUGGACCACUGCCUAGAGGUUCUGGGUACCCUGCUGGAGCACUGGAAGGCAGUGCAGAAUGCUGAUGGUGAUUCACCUGGAAGUGGUUCUAGUGGAAGCGCUGGGCCUCCACUGCUGAAACCACACCCUGCUUCUCCUCCCCCAGACAUGUCUCCUUUCUUUUUACGGCAGUAUGUCAAGGGACAUGCUAACGACGUGUUCGAAGCUUACCCCCAGCUUUUGACAGAGAUGGCCUUGCGCCUGCCAUACCAGGUGAAGAAGGUGUGGGCAGUAGUGCCUCCUGGCUGUGUAACCCCCGAUUUCGGUUCCACAUGGUACUCGUACCUGUGCGAGUACAUGAUGGUGCAGCAAACGCCCUUCAUUCGGCGACAAGUGCGGAAGCUACUGCUCUUCCUGUGUGGUUCCAAGGAGAAGUACAGGCAGCUUCGGGAUCUACAUGCCCUCGAGUCCCAUCUAGCAGGUGCCCGCACUAUAUGCAAGGCCACUGGUGCCACGACACCUUUGAUAGGCACUGCAACGUUGCCUUAUGAUGCCCUUAUUUUGGUGGUGGAACACCUCAAAGCCUGCGCUGAAGUGGCUACUUCACGCACAGCUAACUGGCAGCGCUACUGCCAGCAGGACAACACUGUUCUACCCUUCCUCUUUCAGGUGAGCUUCCUACUGGAUGAGGGAGUGGCCUCUAUAAUACUGCAGCUGCUUCAGUGUGCCCUGUGUGGUACACCUACACUGCAGCAGCCUCCCCAACAGCAGCAGGGAACAAAUAAGCCACAUGCUCCCUCUGGUUCACCAUUAAAGCAGCCGCAUCGUCGUGAGCGGGACACAUCAGAGGAACCUGACGAAGUUGAAAAUUCAGAUGAGGCUCAGUGUGCAGCUUUGGCACAACAAGUGCAUGAUUCUGUGGAACGCUCCUUGCUUGGUCAAUUUAUGCGAGCAUUCCUGCUUGAGUGCAACUCUACAGCUGUCCGGUGGCAGGCACACUCGCUUCUUCAUCAGCUUCACAGACACUCGCAGCCAUCACAUCGAGAGGCUUUGCUGACACUGAUGUGGGAGCUCUGGCCACAGCUUCCAUCAUACGGACGAAAGGCGGCACAGUUCGUGGACCUCUUAGGCUACUUUACACUCAAGGCCCCACAGCCUCAGCAGGAGUUUACCGAAAGGGCAUUGGCUGUACUGCAUCAGCAGAAUCAACUCCUGUGCAACCACCCCAACUCCAGCCUGUACAACUCCAUACGAGGCCUAGUGGAAAUGGAUGGCUACUACCUGGAAAGUGAGCCUUGCCUUGUCUGCAACAAUCCCGAGGUGGCUUACGCAAACAUAAAGCUGUCUGCGAUCAAAGUGGACUCUCGCUUCACCACUUCUACCCAGAUUGUCAAACUGGUUGGCUCACACACAGUGUCGCGCAUCAUUCUGCGUAUUGGAGACUUAAAGCGAAGCAAAAUGGUGCGAGCCAUUAAUAUCUACUACAACAAUCGUUCAGUACAGUCAGUCGUGGAGCUGAAGAACAGACCUGCCAUGUGGCAUCGUGCCAAACGCUGUUCCUUGGCUGCAGGCCAGUGUGAGCUCAAAAUGGACUUCCCACUUCCUAUUGUGGCAUGCAACCUUAUGAUAGAGUAUGCAGACUUCUAUGAAAAUGUUCAGGCAUCAUCAGAGACGUUGCAGUGCCCACGCUGCAGUGCCUCUGUUCCUGCCAGCCCUGGAGUCUGUGCCAAUUGUGGAGAGAAUGUAUUUCAGUGCCACAAGUGCCGUGCUAUAAACUAUGAUGAAAAGGACCCGUUCUUGUGCAAUGCCUGUGGCUUCUGCAAGUAUGCCAAGUUUGACUACACCUUGACUGCCAAGCCUUGCUGUGCCGUUGACCCCAUUGAGGGUGAGGAGGACCGCAAGAAGGCUGUGGCCUCUAUCAAUGCACUUCUUGAAAAAGCUGACAAAGUGUACCAGCAGCUUAUGGCCCACAAGCCGACGUUGGAGCUGCUUCUUCUCAAGGUGCAAGAGCAGGGCCUGGUAGACAAGGCUCUGGAAGAGGAAGCAGCUGCUGUAGCAGGUGUGGCAGCAGGCACAGCUAGCGCAGGCACAGCUUCAGCAACAUCUGCAAGCACUGGUUCUGCAUCAGGGUCAACAUCCAGCAUGGUGAACCGAUCCAUACAACAACUUGCCCAGAAGUACUGCUCCGAGUGCAAAACCUCUUUUGAUGAGCUGAGCAAAAUUGUUCAGAAGAUCUUGGCUUCACGAAAGGAACUUGUUGAGUAUGAGCACAAGCAGAAGGACAGCAGAAAAGCCCAAGCAGCAACCCCAAGUUCAACAGCUGCUAUUCCAGUGAGAAAUGAAUUUCCAUCACCUGGCAGCUUCAGCCUACCAGCAAGCAAUAAGCAGUCUUCUGGGAGAUGCUAUGGUUGCGCCAGUGCAGCAGUGGAUCACUGCAUCACCUUACUGAGGGCUUUGGCUACAAGUGUUCCAUACAGGCAACUUCUGUGUGAGCGGGGCUUGAUAGGGGAGCUGGUGGAGCACAACCUUCGUCAAGGCUGGUCACAGGUUGGCCAGUUGGUGUGCCUGCUAACGCGAGACAACCUCCAGGCCACCGACCACCUCAAUGGAUUGCUGAUGGAACGCAUAUCACUUGCCCUACUUCGUGGUGGGCAGGCACCCUCCCUACGCCAGCAAGCCUGCCUUGCCCUAUUACCUGAUGCUACCACACCACCUGAUGCAACAGAAGGAGACAGCAGGGAGGCAUUGCCAACCCCACCACCAGUCGUAGUUGGUGUCCCUGACUUGCCAGCUGCAGUACGCCAUGAGGUAGCCUUGUUGGCUCUUUCGCUGAAGAAGGACGACUCUUGCUGGGAGCAGCGACUAAGGUGUGUGGUGCGAUUGUUUUUGAUGGGCAUCAGUUCCCAAAGCCCCAUUGUGUUGGAGAGCAUCACACUGCCUUGUCUCAAAAUACUUCAAGCAAUUAUAAAACCAGACCCACCCACCACUAAACGCAACAAGGACAAGUCAAUUGAGGAACUGGCUACUGUGCGGCCUUCAGGCAUGUGUGUUGCUGUGGACCUUAAGGGAUGGCUGGAUGGAGACCCACUGCAGACAUACAGUGCCUGGAAAAGCAGAUGCCUGGGGCGACCUGCUGACACCCUCUCGCUUGGUGGAGGCAAGCGACAACGGCGUGAGGACGUGCGUGCCCGGUUUCUGGUGGAAAAGUAUGGUUUGCGCUGGCGCCAACUAGCUCGCCGAGGUGGUUCUUCUCUGCGCCUUCUUAUGUUCCUACAGCCAUCACAGCAGGCCAGCAAAAGCCAGCCACGCCGACCACGCCCUCUUCAAUCAAACUGGCUGCGCCAGGUUUUGUUCAAUCCGUCUUGCCGCCAAGCACGCACUGUGGCCUGUACCUUGGUUAAAGCCCUGUGCCAGGUUCCAUCGAGGUGCCGGGAAAUGUUGGACCUGCUCACAACAUAUUUGGAUGACCUAGGCACAGCCGGUGAGAGUGGAGCAAAGUUUCUGUCUCUCUACCAGAGCCUUAUUGGUCCUGACUACUGGAAGCACUACCUGGCCAUCAAAGGCCUACUUCCACACCUUGGAGACCUCAUUACUUCUGAAAUUGAACAGCUCACUGUGCUUGAGGAGACUACACUCAAUGCGGACCUUUCACAGGGUUUUGCCCUGAAGAUGCUCACAGAGCUGCUUUCAUCGUUCAUUGAAGUGAACUCCAUCCGGCAGCAAUAUAAGUCACGUCUUGUUGGAUGUGUGCUCAAUGGCUACUUGUCUCUGCGCAAGCUAGUGGUUCAGCGCACAAAGUUGAUCGAUGAGACGCAAGAAAAAUUGUUGACACUGCUAGAAGAAAUGACAACAGGCACAGAAUCGGAGACUGAAGCUUUCAUGGCAGUGUGCGUCGCAACGCUAGGCCGUUAUGGACUGGAGGACCUUCGAACACCGGUGUUUAUCUUUGAACGGCUCUGCUCAUUGAUCCACCCUGAGGAAAACGAGCUAGGCGAGUUCCUGGUGACUCUUGAGAAAGACCCGCAGCAGGAAGACUUCCUCCAGGGGCGCAUGGUGGGUAACCCAUACAACUCAAACGAGCCUGGCAUGGGGCCACUAAUGCGCGAUCUCAAGAACAAGGUGUGCCAGGACUGCGAGUUGGUGGCCUUGCUCGAGGAUGAUAAUGGCAUGGAGCUGCUAGUCUGCAACAAGAUAAUGAGCCUUGAUCUGCCUGUUAAGGAAGUCUACCGCAAAGUCUGGUGUCCUGAGAAUGGAGAGUCGGAGGCUAUGCGAGUAGUGUACCGUAUGCGAGGGCUGUUGGGAGAUGCAACGGAAGAAUUUGUGGAAUCUCUUGAAGCAAAGGCUGGUGGUCCUCAGGUGGAUGAGGAGCAUGUGUACAGGCUGGCACGUGUCAUGGGCAUUUGCGGUGGCCUUGAGGCCAUGCUCGAGCGCCUUGCUGCCAUUGAUGACCUAUCACGGGGCCGGCCAUUGCUCACUGUUCUCCUCAAGCUAUUUGGCCUCUGUGUAAAGGUUCAGAGCAAUCGUCUGCAUCUUUUGGAGCCAUCAUUGCACGCUGUUGCCCGCCUCUUGGGAGCACUGCGGCUGCUACUUGGAGCACAGGAGGCUGCUCUUGCGGAGCAGCUUCUGGCGACACUGGAGGCUGUACUGGCUGAGGGAGCUGCCCAUGUGCCUCCUCAGCUUCCAGAAGGUGUUACGCGGGACGACAUCACUUUCCUCCUGACCCAAGUCGGCACUGGCAGGCCUAGUCCACGUCUUUUGCAGCUGCUCAUGCGGGUUGUUCCCUUCUUAACCCUCACUGAUGAGGCCAAAAUGGAUGUUCUCAUCAACCACUUCAAGCGACAGCUCAAUUUCAUUCGCUUUGAUGGGGAGCACACACCAGAGGACGAUGUCCAGCUAGAGUGUUUUUGUAACCUAAGUGCUGGCAUUGAACCCAAUGACAAUGGCAAUCGACUCAAAGACCUUCUUGUUGCUCGUGGCAUCGUGGAGGGUGCCAUUCAGUACCUGCUUGUGUAUGCACCACCUGCCAAGCGACGUGUACUAGAAGCAGUCCCGCACAAGGAAGCAGCAGCAAAUGGUGGUGCAGUGCAUUUACCAAUGUGCUCCCAAGCAGGAGUUCUCUGCUGUCAGCCUCAGAAAAUUGGAAGGAGUUUACAUCCAAGCCAGCCCUGAAGUAUGUCCUUCGUAUUUUGACGGGACUUAGCAGAGGACAUGAGAAAACGCAAGUCCUAGUCAGCACAGAAUGCAUCCCUAUCAUUCAUCGCCUGGAGCAGGUGUCAAGUGAUGAGCAUGUUGGCUCACUGGCCGAAAAUCUUAUGGAGGCCUUGAAAGAGAAUCCCAAUGUGGCACAGAAGAUUGAAGAGGUCCGCAAGCAGACCAGAGAUGAGAAAAAGAGGCUUGCAAUGGCUAUGCGUGAGAAGCAGCUCGGCGAGCUUGGAAUGCGCACCAAUGAGAAGGGCCAAGUGACAGCCAAGAGCUCAAUCCUAAAGCAAAUGGAAGACUUGGGUGAAGAGGCAGGACUAGUGUGCAUAAUCUGUCGUGAAGGCUACAAGUUUCAACCCAGCAAAAUACUUGGCAUCUACACCUUUUCCAAGCGGUGUAAUCUGGAUGAAUAUGAAGCC
rnacentral:misc_RNA from 1 species